CCUACGGGAGGCAGCAGUGAGGAAUACUGGUCAAUGGCCGGAAGGCUGAACCAGCCAAGUCGCGUGAGGGAAUAAGGCCCUACGGGUCGUAAACCUCUUUUGUCAGGGAGCAAGGCCGUCCACGAGUGGACGGGAGGAGAGUACCUGAAGAAAAAGCAUCGGCUAACUCCGUGCCAGCAGCCGCGGUAAU
rnacentral:rRNA from 1 species